GGGCGAGUGGUGGAAUGGCAGACACACAGGCUUCAGGAGCCUGCGCCCGCAAGGGCAUGAGGGUUCAAGUCCCUCCUCGCCCA
rnacentral:tRNA from 1 species